UAAAAAUUUAAUUUAAAAUAUUUAAGUAGUAUUAGUUUAAGAUCUUGAAAUUUAAAAAAUUUGGCGGUAUUUUAGUCUAUUCAGAGGAACCUGUUUUAUAAUCGAUAAUCCACGAUGGAUCUUACUUAAAUUUGUUUUUAUAGUUUAUAUAUCGUCGUUUUUAGAAUAUUUUAAUAGAAUAAUAAUUUUCUUAAUUUUUUAUUUUGAAAUAUAUCAGAUCAAGAUGUAGCUUAUGUUUAAGUUUAUAAUGGGUUACAAUUAUUUUAUUAUUGGAUUUGAGUUUGAAAUAAUUUAAUAAAAUUGGAUUUGAUAGUAAAUUUAAACAGAUUAUUAAGUUGAUUUAUGCUCUAAAAUAUG
rnacentral:rRNA from 1 species